UGGCUCUCGCAUCGAUGAAGAACGCAGCGAAAUGCGAUAAGUAAUGUGAAUUGCAGAAUUCAGUGAAUCAUCGAAUCUUUGAACGCACCUUGCGCUCCUUGGUAUUCCGAGGAGCAUGCCUGUUUGAGUGUCAUUAAAUUCUCAACUAUACAAGUUUUGUUGACUUGUAUGGCUUGGAUCAUGGGAUUUGCGGGCUUUCACAAGUCGGCUAUCCUUAAACGCAUUAGCAGAGCUUUUGUUACUAACCUCUGGUGUGAUAAUUAUCUACGCCAUUGAGAAGCAACAUGUUGAAGCCUUGCUUCUAAUCGUCUUUACGACAACAUUUGACAAUCUGACCUCAAAUCAGGUAGGACUACCCGCUGA
rnacentral:misc_RNA from 1 species